GGAUAACCUACCCUUAGGACUGGGAUAACCCUGGGAAACUGGGGAUAAUACUGGAUAGGCAAUUAUUCCUGUAAUGGUUUUUUGUUUAAAUGUUUUUUCGCCUAAGGAUGGGUCUGCGGCCGAUUAGGUAGUUGGUUAGGUAAUGGCUUACCAAGCCUUUGAUCGGUACGGGUUGUGAGAGCAAGAGCCCGGAGAUGGAACCUGAGACAAGGUUCCAGGCCCUACGGGGUGCAGCAGGCGCGAAACCUCCGCAAUGUGAGAAAUCGCGACGGGGGGAUCCCAAGUGCCAUUCUUAACGGGAUGGCUUUUCAUUAGUGUAAAGAGCUUUUGGAAUAAGAGCUGGGCAAGACCGGUGCCAGCCGCCGCGGUAACACCGGCAGCUCUAGUGGUAGCAGUUUUUAUUGGGCCUAAAGCGUCCGUAGCCGGUUUAAUAAGUCUCUGGUGAAAUCCUGCAGCGUAACUGUGGGAAUUGCUGGAGAUACUAUUAGACUUGAGAUCGGGAGAGGUUAGAGGUACUCCCAGGGUAGAGGUGAAAUUCUGUAAUCCUGGGAGGACCGCCUGUUGCGAAGGCGUCUGACUGGAACGAUUCUGACGGUGAGGGACGAAAGCUAGGGGCGCGAACCGGAUUAGAUACCCGGGUAGUCCUAGCUGUAAACGAUGCGGACUUGGUGUUGGGGUGGCUUUGAGCUGUCCCAGUGCCGAAGGGAAGCUGUUAAGUCCGCCGCCUGGGAAGUACGGUCGCAAGACUGAAACUUAA
rnacentral:rRNA from 1 species